rnacentral:rRNA from 1 species
GAUCCUGGCUCAGGACGAACGCUGGCGGCGUGCUUAACACAUGCAAGUCGAGCGGGGAUACCGUUGGAAGUUCUUCGGGAUGGAGGACGGUAUUCUAGCGGCGGACGGGUGAGUAACGCGUGAACAAUCUGUCCCAGACAGGGGGAUAACAGAUGGAAACAUCUGCUAAUACCGCAUAAGACCACGGGGUCGCAUGGCCCUGAGGUAAAAGGAGCAAUCCGGUCUGGGGUGGGUUCGCGUCCGAUUAGCUAGUUGG